UUCUGCUUUCCUGGUCUCUGCAGGAACGGUGGUCCUGUAAGUCUAUUUCUCCAUUAAAGCUGUAUAUAUUUUUACAAUCUGUCUUCAGCCGUUACAGACCCAGGCAGUGGAUAAAAUAACGCUGCAUCUCCAAGCACAGAAAGGAAGAAUGACCCCUGAUCUCAGGCAACCAACCGCCAUGCAGAUGAGUCCUUCCUACAAACGAGCCCCACAUUCGUGAUUGGGAAGCAGGCAGGAAGCCCGAGGGCCGGGCGAGUUUUCCCACAUAGCUGGCCAGUGGGUUGGACUUCUCAGCUACAACAGCAGACUUCAUCUGGAGUUCCAGAACGGACUUGGCAGACCAGGAGACAAGGGCUGUUUUCCUAAGUGACUCUCGAGCACGUAUUUCAGCAGGAAUGUGUCACUGCCUCAGAAGCUUGGGAAGAUCCACAAAGGACUUUGCUCCAGAAGCUCACACAAUGGGAUCCUUUAUGUAACUGCUCCAAGUCGUUAUUUAAGAAGGCUAGGAAAUAAAGAGCUCGACACUUCAGGAAACAAACAGACUUCCUCUUUACCUCAAAGUAAUUGAGCUAUUGGGAGGACGACCUGGUGAGGACUUUUUGUCAGCACACGGGGAAAAGUCUAUUUUAUUAAUACACAUGCACGCACACAUGUGUGCGUGGGCAUGCGCACAGACACACACACACACACAGUACAUACGCAUCUCCUCUUCCUCCUCCCACUAGUAUUUAAAAAUGAAUGACUCAGGCUUUGGAAAACAUGAUCACAAUGGACUAUUACGUCAUCAGGUGAUUAUCACAAAGCUGGGACAAACACUAUGGAUGAAAGGGCUCAGGGAGUGUGACAGUAAGGAUUCAUUUGACAAGAAAGCACUGGGGGCAAGGGACAGAUAGAGGACAAUUUAAAGGUUCCCCUCCAAACAAGUGAAUUUUAUAAAGCUCCACAUCUAGGACGGCAAUCACUUUAAUCAAAGGUGUUUGAUUAGAGGUUUCAUCUCCUGUGGUAGGCAGAACUUGAUUUCAAGCGCAGGCAUGGCUUGUGUCAGCUAGCUGACCUAGAGCUAGGGUUCAGCCCCCUCUACUCUCUGAGGAAGCAUCUCUGUAGGUACACAUUGUCCACACUGCACAGCGAGACCUGGAGCCUUGUCCUGGGGGUUUCCUUGAAGCAAAGGUCCCUAGGGAAAAAAUGUAACACUAGAAAGAACAGAAAGCAAAGAUGGCCUGACGUCAGCAGAUGGUAGACAAACUCCAUCUCAAAGGCUUCAUGGUUGGGUUUAGGACACAAGAGAGAAAUGUGCACCGCAUGCAUCCUUUAACAGGGAGAGAUCUGGCCAGCAACCCUCUCAGAGCUAGACUCAGGGCACAGCCUGAAAGCUGAGCACAGGCAGGAUGAGUGUGCGGUGUGUGUGGGUGUUGUGUUUUCCUUCUGUUUAUGUGAAAACCUCUUUAAAAUUCUUUCUGAAGUUUGUAGUUAAGACUCUGAGGCUCUUUGCAAGGAAGGGUUGGACCAGUCUCAAAACUGCAAAGGUAGUAAGUAUCCUUUCCUUAAGUCUUUGAGGCCAGCACGAUGGUAGACCGGAAACACGGUGCUCUUGGAGCCAUGAACUAAGACCAGAGAACAGCUGCAACAGCCCGAUGCUACCAUGACUACCAGAUGUGGCUGGGGACCAAUCUGCACUAUGAGAGUGAACUGUGGACACCAAGCCACUAUUUACAUAGACAGGUACUGUGAUCUGAUUUGAAAACAACACCUGAGAAGGUCUGUCAUAGAAAGACUCAUCCAUCCAACCAUAAAUUACGGAACGUCCAUCUUGGAACAUGAUGUGAACAAGACAAGCGGGCAGCGGACUUUAACAGAUGAGUGUUGCUGCGUGCAGACAUGAAGACCAGGCUGGCCACUGUGAGCAAUGCCUUCAAGGAAUUAGGAGAAGAAGUGGGGGGAACUACUGGGAAGGUCAAAGCAGCGUCCAGAUGACAGAAGGCGAUGAGGACUAGGCAAGGGUUUCUCAACCUCAAGAUUACUGAGAUCUUGGACCACCGGUUUCCUAUUGUGAAAGCAUCACACUUGGCCUCUUCUCACCAGAUGGCAGAAACCAUUCCCUCCUCCCCAGUCACAGCAAUCAAAAAAGUUCUCCAGAUAUUCCCAAACAUACCCUGGAGAGUCAAACUGUCCCCAUUGAGAAUAAACGGGCUGACGUGUUAACUGCACUGGAAUGCAGAAUCUGAACAUAUUUUAAAGAUAGAGCCGAUGGGAUUUGCUGGCAAGAACAGAUGCAGAGUAUGAGAGAAAGAGAGACGUUAGUGAUAAGAUAUCCCAGGGGGCUUGAUGCUGGGCCACUGAAGAGUGGAGGUGACAAGCAUAGGAAUGAGAAAACUGGAGGAGGGGAGAUCAACUGGAGCUUAGAGUGUGUGGGGUUUGGGGUCCCUAUGAGGUUUCUAUGCACCAAGGGAAAUUAACUGUUGAAGUUCCAAGGAGG